CCGAGUUUACAACUCCCAAACCCCUGUGCACCCUCUGUGGUUCUAUGGCUUGGGUGGGGUCUGUCCCCCCUGCUGUGGUUCUAUGUCUUUACACACACUACUACAAAGUCUCAUGGAAUGUACGUCGCGUUUAACGCAAUGAAAUA
rnacentral:misc_RNA from 1 species